rnacentral:rRNA from 1 species
CGAAGAACCUUACCUGGUCUUGACAUCCCGGAGACCCUUAGGAAACUAGGGGGUGCUUCCAUCUGGAAGAAUCUGGAGACAGGUGCUGCAUGGCUGUCGUCAGCUCGUGUCGUGAGAUGUUGGGUUAAGUCCCGCAACGAGCGCAACCCUUGCCUUUAGUUGCCAGCAGUUCGGCUGGGCGCUCUAAAGGGACUGCCGGUGUUAAACCGGAGGAAGGUGGGGAUGACGUCAAGUCCUCAUGGCCUUUAUGACCAGGGCUACACACGUACUACAAUGGCCGAUACAAAGGGCAGCGACACUGCGAGGUGAAGCCAAUCCCGUAAAAUCGGUCUCAGUCCGGAUUGGAGUCUGCAACUCGACUCCAUGAAGUUGGAAUCGCUAGUAAUCGUGGAUCAGCAUGCCACGGUGAAUACGUUCCCGGGCCUU